UUCAUUGAGCUUACUCCUAUUUUGCACCGAUACAAGUGUCACGAGAGAGAGAGAGAGAGAGAGAGAGAGAGUCCAGAGAGAGAGAGAGUCCGUUAAUUUCUGUUAAUAAUACUAAUAAUUAGUACUGUAUAAGAAAGAGCGAGAGAGGGGCAACAACAAUGGUGUCCGACCAGGACAUAGUCCAGGCCAUAGACUCGCUCCUUCGCGAAACGAACCCUGUAACCACCUUAACCUCCCUAAACGGCGUCGUCCACCAGCUGGAAUCCAAUCUGGGGUUGGACCUCACCCACAAGCUCGACUUCAUCCGCAACCAGAUCCACCUCCUCCUCCUCCAAUCUCCGCCGCAACCACCCCAUUUCCACCACCCUCAAAAAGACCACUUUGCCCUCCACCAAAACCCUAACUUCCACGCCACUCCUUCUCAACUACCUCUUAAUUACACCGUUAGAGGUGUGGAUGCUUCCGCCGCCGCCGUUGGUACCCCUGCUGAAUCGCCCGAAAAGAGUACCCAAACUGGUAGAAAAAGAAGAGGUGGCCCGGGGGGACUAAACAAGAUAUGUGGGGUUUCACCUGAACUUCAGGUCAUCGUUGGGUUGCCUGCACUACCUAGGACUGAGAUUGUGAAGCAGCUGUGGGCUUACAUAAGGAAACACAAUCUUCAAGAUCCAAGUAACAAAAGGAAGAUAAUUUGUAAUGAUGAGCUGCGUUUGGUGUUUGAGACAGAUUGUACUGACAUGUUCAAAAUGAACAAGUUGCUAUCUAAGCAUAUCAUCUCUCUUGAACCUACAAAACCGGUACGUCAAAAUUCCAAGAAACCGAAAGUUGAAGUGGAAUCGGUGACACACAGUGCCGAAUCUGGUCCUAUUGUGGUAAUCUCUGAAGCACUGGCAAUUUUUUUUGGUACUGGUGAAAGGGAGAUGCUGAAGUCAGAGGUCUUAAGACGUGUUUGGGAGUACAUAAAAUACAACCAACUCGAGGAUCCUACAAAACCUACGGUGAUUUCAUGUGACACAAAGCUUCAAGAGCUUUUUGGAUGUGCAAGAAUUUCUGGAGUAGGGAUAUCUGAGAUGUUGGCACGCCAUCAUCUGUUUGAGAAACGAUGACGAGAGAUCGUGCUGAGCGGUUUUGCAUCACUUGAAGUUGAGAAACUUGACGCAUAUUAGGUUUAGCCUUAUUGGAGUCUGGCAACUAUGGAUGGCUAGCUCGAUACAGAUGCAUCAGGAAUACUAGAUGUGGGGGCUUACCAGUGAAAAAUGUUCAAACCUUGCCCUAUACAGUAGUGUUUGGACCUACACAUUAGAUAUGCCAAUUGUUCUACUUUGCAACAAGUCUAAUCCUGUAAGUGGAUUUUAUUGCUUGGGAUACAUACAGUUGCUGUCUUUCAGUUGUAGGGGGGCUGUGCAGGAAUAAUUGCCAGUCUUGUAUGGAUUGAGCUUUUUAGGCAUGCUUGAAUGGAAGUCAAUAACGCAUUUGAAGAAUUGAAGCAGAGACUUAAUUUUCAUUGUUAAUGUCUCAUGUUGUUAACCAUUAUGCUAGUAUUGAAACUGAAAUACGUGGUGCUAAUCUAACCUACUGCUUCCGACAUAGCAAAUACUAACUGGAGAGUUGUCAUUGGCCUAUAUGAAGAUGUUUUUAUACUGUACUCUAUUUAAGUUGGGAUUGUUUUGAAAAUGUAAGGUGCUAAGGGUCAGUUGUUAUGUAGCAGGCAGCACAGUCUUCUUGUGAUUGUUUUGAAAAUGUAAGGUGCUAAGGGUCAGUUGUUAUGUAGCAGGCGCCACAGUAAGACGUCGAUACACUAUACUGUUUUGAGUGCAUCUUAAUGGAAGGGACAUUUCUGUUGGAAUUUUUAACAUAAA